rnacentral:rRNA from 1 species
CAGCCGCCGCGGUAAUACAGAGGGUGCAAGCGUUAAUCGGAAUUACUGGGCGUAAAGCGCGCGUAGGUGGUUCGCCAAGUUGGAUGUGAAAUCCCCGGGCUCAACCUGGGAACUGCAUCCAAAACUGGCGAGCUAGAGUAUGGUAGAGGGUGGUGGAAUUUCCUGUGUAGCGGUGAAAUGCGUAGAUAUAGGAAGGAACAUCAGUGGCGAAGGCGACCACCUGGACUGAUACUGACACUGAGGUGCGAAAGCGUGGGGAGCAAACAGGAUUAGAUACCCCAGAGUCCCUGUCUCUUAUACC